rnacentral:rRNA from 1 species
GAUGAACGCUGGCGGCGUGCCUAAUACAUGCAAGUCGAGCGAACGGACGAGAAGCUUGCUUCUCUGAUGUUAGCGGCGGACGGGUGAGUAACACGUGGAUAACCUACCUAUAAGACUGGGAUAACUUCGGGAAACCGUAGCUAAUACCGGAUAAUAUUUUGAACCGCAUAGUUCAAAAGUGAAAGACGGUCUUGCUGUCACUUAUAGAUGGAUCCGCGCUGCAUUAGCUAGUUGGUAAGGUAACGGCUUACCAAGGCAACGAUGCAUAGCCGACCUGAGAGGGUGAUCGGCCACACUGGAACUGAGACACGGUCCAGACUCCUACGGGAGGCAGCAGUAGGGAAUCUUCCGCAAUGGGCGAAAGCCUGACGGAGCAACGCCGCGUGAGUGAUGAAGGUCUUCGGAUCGUAAAACUCUGUUAUUAGGGAAGAACAUAUGUGUAAGUAACUGUGCACAUCUUGACGGUACCUAAUCAGAAAGCCACGGCUAACUACGUG